AUGCAUGGGAGAGAAUGGAGUGAAGAGUGUUCUUUUCCAAAACACAACAAUCCAAGAAACAUCAAAUCCAAGAAAGUGAUUAUGGGUCUUGGAAGAUUGGUAGGAACACUAAAGUCCAAAAUAAAGUCAUUGAAAAUGAAGAAACCUUACAACAAGGUUGAGAAGAGUGAAAGUAUGAGAGUGGAGAUAAAGAGUAGAAAAGCCAGAAAGCUUAUUGAAGAAACUCUCAAAAUUGCUGAUUCACCAAACACAAAAUCUUUCAACUUCUGA